rnacentral:misc_RNA from 1 species
GGAGAUCUUUUGUGAUGAGAAGCUGAAGACCAUAUUUGAUGGAAAAGAAAAAGUUGGAUUCCUGGAGAUAGGGAAGUUGCUAUCAUGUCAUUUUGUGAAGACCGGUUAACUUUCAUUAUUUGGUGUUGGAUUUGUGGCUGAACUCUUCAUGGAGCAAAGUUCUUAACUACUGAUCUUGAAUCGUUUUAUGUGCUAUUAUACUGAUAUUUUCCUUUUGCAUGAGAGCCAAGCGUUUAUGAAUUGUAUUGCUACUGAACAAGCAUUUAGCUGGAC